GCUCAAGACUCUGAGCCAAACCUUUCCUGAAGAACAUACUCUGAACGUCUCCUUAUUCAGCUCACUGAACACCCACAGCCUGCUUCUUCAUAUAUGACACGCAAAUCUCCUCAAAAUCCACAAAAUGUAGACAAGUUAACUUCCGCGUGUCAUCUUCAAAAACCAGUGAUUUGUACCUCUGCAUUUGGAAGGAAGCUACCCUUCAGGUGCAGGCAUGCAGGAGACUGCCCUUCUUCCUCUUCAUCGCUUAAUAUACUCUGACAAUGACAUUCCAUCACUUCAAGAGCACCUGCUGCUGGCAGGAGAGUGAGCAGCCAACUUCAUGAAGAAGUUAACCAAGAAUCAAGGAGAACAAACUCAUCUCCAAGUCUUUCCAGAGAUCAUCUCAUAAUUAAUAAUCAGUCCUGCUGUUCUGCUCUGACAAGAAACAAUGUGUCUCUUCAAUGAACAUCAAGAGCAUGUCGCUCUCUCUCUCUCUCUCUUUCUAUCUCUCUCUCUCUCUUAUUUUCCUCUCUUGACAUCUUCCUGGCAUGUUCCACGUCACUGGUAUGGUAUUAUCAUUGGCAUCAAUGUGCAUUCAUCAUCACAUAAACAGGAGGGUGCCCCUAUUUUACUAUUUGGUAAAAUGAAGACCCAAAGUGACUUGCCCCAGACAAUAAUAAAGCUAGAACCCGAACAAGGGGUAUGGUCAGUGGGAACGUUUACUUGUCAACAAGAGCAAUUUAUCCAGGGAGUGGUGAAACCACUGAUGGCAUGCUAUACCACCCCAGAUGGGUGGACAUAAAGUUUUCAUGUAUGCAUUCACUCAUGCUUGCAUUAUUCAUUAAUUUGCAGAGCUGUGCAAUUGGCUCUGUGCUAGGUCCGGGAAGGUCCUACCAAGCAAUGUUCAUGGGGCCACGCCUUGGACUCAAAUCCCUACUCUCCUGUCCCCUACUUGUAUGACUUUAAGGAAAACACUUACAUGUACUGGUUUCUAUGCUUUUAAGCAGAAAACAAAACCAACAGCACUUACCUCAUGAUUACAGUAUAGCAAAUGUUGUGUAAAUUCACUGAUCUGGCAAAUAUUUGCCUGGACUCCAAGGCAGACACUGUGCUAGGCAUAUGUAUAAAGGAUGGUUGCUCUCCUGAUGGGGACCACACAAAAUAAAACACAAGCAUCUUAUUCUCAAGACUUUUAAUCUUGUAGAAGAGUUAAGUAGGGAUGUCCAUACCCAAAGAAGCAGCAUAUAAGCACCCGGCAGGGAACUUGGACUAUGGAGCAUGAGAGAUUCGCUUGGGGCUGGUCUGAUGCCCAAGGGCUUCAGGAAGGGGGAGGUCUGGGGAGGACCCUGAAGGGUAAGUGAAAUGUUAGCUGGCAGAGGUAAACAGGACAGGCCCAGUGGGCAACAGGAUGAAAUAAAUCAAGGCCUUAGAAGAAGAAAAGUCAGCUAGCAAAAUAUGGACAGACUGACAAGGUGGAUUGGAACAGAACAUGCUUCCGAGGAGGCUGAUGUGAAGCCAGAAGGAAGGUGAGGAACAGGAAUGAGAUUCUCAAAGAGAUGGAGGGGAAAGCCUGUGCUCCAGGCCUCCAGGGAGGGGAGGGGAGGCAUGCCGCUCUGCUCUCCAUCUCCACCUCCACCCCUUCUUUCCAGAGACAGCAGCUGGCUGCAGGUAAAUUGUGCUCGGGGCCCCGUGUCUCGUUUUUAUGAUUUACCAGUUCAGUCUUUCAGCAGGGCGAGAAUAUAGAGUGUGGUGGAUGGCACAUGCUCGGGGAAUUUAUGUUGCAUAGCUAAACAUCAUGUCUGCCUAUCUCUUCCCAGUAAUCUCUGAUAAUACCCAAAUGGGCUUUUUAUUUUAAACAUCUGGACAGCCUUAUGGUGGCUGAGAAUUAAGGUGCUGAGUGAAGAAAACAGCACAGUCAUAAAGUCUGUCGAAUAAACAAAGCUUUCUUUGGAACAUUAACUCCUUUACUGAGAAAUUGUCUCUGUUCCUCAAAAUGCACUUGGUAACUUUACAUCUUCAUCUCCAGGUACCACUUUUCUCUUGCAAAUACUCUCAUGGCAGUUAAUGGGGCCAUUAAGGUAGGAAACUAUGAGAUAUUAGCAUAAAAAGAACAUUGCCAGGAAAGAGAUGCAAAAGGCCUUUCCUCACGCAAGCUCUUUUCCCCCCUUUUGGCAUUUGCUUUUGUUUUAUAACAGCAGAAAUUCCCAUUGUGGGUGGUGGUAAUUUUAGCUAGAUAAUAACUCUGCCGACACCGUCAUAAAUUGGCAAAAGGUGUGUAACUCAGGGAGGGGAAAGACUGGAAUGGAAAAUAAUCAAGUAGUUUCUAUUUGUUUUUAAUACACACAGCCAUUCAAUCAAGAGAGGUCUGAAUUUUCUCUUUCUUCUCAGAGAUCACUAGGGUUUCUUUUUGCCUGAAGAAGGUGAUGAAGUCGAGAUGACAUGGAUAGUCGCAGCCUUUGCACAUGCCCUGCUGUCUGCUGGGUGCUCUCCCUGUCCUGGAGUCUGAGGAUCAACAUUUCCUUACUCUGGAAGGUUUGGUUCAUGUGUUCUCUACAGCAUAAGCCUGCCCGAACCCCCCAGAGGAGGAUUGAAGCUAUCUUCUCUGAGUUACUGGAAAACCACAGGGGCUUCUCCUGUGGUUCUAUCAUUGCGUUUGUAGGCAAAUGGUCCCACCCAAUGACUGUGGUGGCCGGCCACAAGCAGGACUGGGCAAGGUGGCUACGGAUUCAGGAGUUCUGGGUCUUGGGCCCUAGAACAGGGCCUAGAACAGAGUUAGAUUUACUUUUAUGUAUCUGUUUUCUAUAGUUGUAGUAUAGAUUCUCAUACACAUUGCAGGUUAAAAUAACUUAGGGGUCUAGGCAGGACUAGUGGAGUCCUCUGCUUUGGGUCCCCUGAAGUAUCAUUUAGGGAUGGAUACUCAUCAGAGGCUCAGCUGUGGAGGGAACUGCCUUCACGGUCACUCAGAUUGUUGGCAGCUGUUGGACUCCUGACAGCUGUCUUCUGCUUGUCCACGAAGAGAAGUCUCCAGAGAUUCUGCUAAGUCAGAGUCUUCUAUAAUAUGACAUGUCCUAUGUGCCAUGCCUUGUCAUCUUUGUACAUUCUAUUGGUUAGAUGCAAGUCACAAGACUCACUUCUCGGGAGGGGAUUAAGCACAGGCAUGAAUAUCAGGAAGUGGGAUCAUGAGGGCCCGUUUCAUAUCUGCACAACACAUAAAUGGUUUAAUAAAUCUCUCACCCAAACAAAUUGCUUUGUUUUCCCCAAUCACAGCCGUCCUGAACCUGGUGUUGCUGCAUGCCACAUCUGUUUUCAUGCAUUUGAGAUCCUUUACUUGAUGCCCACCUUGUAAUCCCCGGAUCCUCGCAGGACAGAGUUCAUGUCUGUCCAGUGGGGCUGUAUAUCCACAGAACCUAGCAAGGACUGAACUGUGCUAGGUGCACAAUAUCAUAUCUCAAAUGAAUGAAUUCAUUCAUUCAUGGGGAGAACACAUGAGUGUGCUCAAUCCUUGGUGUGAGUGACUGUGGACCUUAUAUUCUUCUUUAUGCAAUAUUUUCCCUCCAUGUUCUGUAAGUGUUGGCUUGGGAGUGAAUAAAACACUCAAUAGCCAUAUCUCAUGCCAAUAACUCAUUUCUUUAUUUCUUUAGACCUAUUCUUGAAAGCACCUCUGCAUGGACAACUCCCCAAACAGAGGAUUCUGCCUCAGGCCAGAAAGCUUGGAGUUAUUCAAACAUGAAAUAGGCAGAGAUAAACCACAGUUGAAGGAGCACAUGACUUUCCUGCGAUAAUCUUCAGGGCCCUUGUAUUUGCAUGCCCCUUGCUUCUGUCCCCUCUCCGUUCUCCACUGAUUCCAUACUGCAUAGCUGGUGCACGUUUCUGGAUUGCCCUGAGCCGUGAUUUAUUCUUUCCUGCAUUAUGCCUUUUGAAUGCCUUCUCCCUGCCCCUGUAUAGCCCUGAAACCUUUCUCUCUAAUUUCAAUUUGUACUUUAUUUUCACUCCAGAAACACUCAUAUGUGAUCAGUCACCUGCCCCAGGUUGACUGUGUCGGCUCCACUGCUACCGUCCUAGCAAUGCCUCACAAGUCACGAUGCAUGCAGGUCUAGUAGCUCCAAAUUUGGAGGCUCUUCUAGAAUACCAUCGCCCUCUCCAAGAUUUUAUAUGUAAAGGCACAGAUAUGUUCUAAGUAAAUGGAUGGGAAAUAUACACCAUGCACAGAAAAAGUAUAUGUCUUAGGUAGCAUAAUGAUUUCUGAUAAGUUAUAGUUUAAGAGUGGGCAUGUUCAGAGAUUAAAAAGAAAAAGCUCUGUGAGACAGGCAGGGGAUGGCAUUCAACCACACGGAUGUGACAGAUGAGGAAACCUAGACUUACAGAGGAGAGACUGACUUGUUUGACAGUGUUAGGCUUGGCAUGGUCUCCCCACCAAAUUACGAGCUUCCUAGAGGGAGAGCUCCCAUCUUGUAAGUCUUAAUACCCUCUGCAGCUCACAACAUCACCAUCGGGGAAGGCAUUCCACAACUGAUCACAGAGCAAAUGAUCUACUAUCAACCAUCAAGGCAUGAUACCCCCAUGAACAUCUUCCAAAUUGCCAUUCACGGCAUAAUGUACAAGAUGGUUCUGAUAUGUCAGUGGAGAGCUAAUGCCUGUCUUCCUAGGAUCUCCCAUGGAACUACCCCACACCACUAGUCACAUGGCUAGUGUGUAAACUAUUGUUUAUUCAACAUGACCCCAUCUGGCCACUCUGGUUGACCCAGGAGUGUGUACAUGAUCCAACAGUGUCCUCUUUCUCUCCUUUCUUCAGAAUUCUGAAACUGAAACUGAGCAGAACUCAUUAACUGGUACCUGAACCUAUAAUGUAUAGAACGCUGGUAUUACUUAUGGCCAUGAUCAUCCAAAAUUGUUUUGAAACUUGGAGGAUGCUGUUCAGGGGAGAGACAACAACAAAAACAACAACAACAACAAAACAUUUAAGGAGAGAAAGAGAGACAAAUUUAAACCUGCUCAUAUAACUUGGAAUGGAGAAGAAAUCCAAACAAACCAUAAACUACGAGACAUGACCAACGAGCUCUGUCUACCUCAAACCUGGGAGAUGGUGACCAAAGCUGUAUUAGAAGUAAAGUCAUCCUCAGACACAUGCUUGAGAAGGAAGAAAGAAAAGGAAAGGAAAGUUUAAAGCAUAAUCCAUUAUUUUUUAACUUUUUAUAAAGCUAGAAGAGGAAUGCUUCUUCCAUUUUUCGUGUGAGAUCUGAAAGACAUGUAGAAAUCCAUAAAGUAGAAAGAAGAGAAGCACAAUCCAAGCCAAGGGCUUGAGGGAACGAAAGAGAACAGACCAGGUCCUGGCCACACAGUCUCUAUUGGCUUACGGUACUUCUCUGCUUAACCUAAGACCACUGUGAAACCAGAUAAGUACUUACAUAACUGAUAAUAUUUUUAAUAUUAUCAUGUACACACCCCAUCCCUGUGUGUACGUGCACCAUCGUCAUACCUCAUGUCUCUCUGCAAGGUGGAAAGUGUGUUGAAAAUUAGCAGGGAAGUAUGUACCAGUCUGUUCAGGAAGCAAGAGAAGCUGGAAAGUCAGAUGGGAGUGCUACUGGGUUAGAACUGAAGAGCUAUGUGUAGCAGGUAAAGCAUACUGGGCAUCGUGAUGGAUUCCUGUGAAAAUGACCUGACCAUCAUGGCUUUCAGGUGUUAUUUAUUGAAAUGAGAAAUCCUACAAGAGGGAGUAGCUCAAUUGGCCAAAUGUACUUAAUUCACAAACACCUGAUUUUUUUUAGUAGACUCUUUUGGAUUUCACAGAAUAUUGUAUUGAAUGGAAGGUUUUAAUAGUUUUUGAAAAAAUUCUUUAAAAAAGGAAAGAUUUUAUUAAGCAAUCUCUAUUUAACGUGAGGCUUGAACUUAGAACUCCUGAGAUCAGGAGAUCAGGAGUUGCACGUCUAAGAGUCACCAGGCACCCCUAGAAAAUUUCCA